UACGUAGGGUGCAAGCGUUAAUCGGAAUUACUGGGCGUAAAGCGUGCGCAGGCGGCUUUGCAAGACAGAUGUGAAAUCCCCGGGCUUAACCUGGGAACUGCAUUUGUGACUGCAUGGCUGGAGUGCGGCAGAGGGGGAUGGAAUUCCGCGUGUAGCAGUGAAAUGCGUAGAUAUGCGGAGGAACACCGAUGGCGAAGGCAAUCCCCUGGGCCUGCACUGACGCUCAUGCACGAAAGCGUGGGAGCAAACAGG
rnacentral:rRNA from 1 species